rnacentral:rRNA from 1 species
UCGACGCAGGGUCGUAGGUAGAGCAUACUAAGGCGUAGAGAUAAUACUUGUAAAGGAACUCGUCAAGUUGUGUUCAUAAGUUUGACGAGAUGAAGAACCAAUUAUAUAUUUUUUAUUUAGGUAAAUUUUAUAUAAAGGGUGGUACAGAAACGGAGGCCCCGACUGUUUACUUAAAUCACAGACAUCUUCAACGAUAAAUUUCUUUGUACAGGUGUUGAAUUUUGCCCGAUGCCAAUAAUAUAACGUUAAUACGCGCUAUGCGUUUUUAUUGUCUAAAAAUCUGGUCAAUGGCGGUAUUAUCCUGUGGAUCCUAACGUAGCAAAAUUAAGUGUCCAUUAAAUGUGGUCCCGACUGUAUAAAGUAACGAUGGUCUCACUGUCUCUACAAGUAUCUCAGUGAAAUUGAAUUAGCCGUAAGAUGCGGGCUGCUGCCCUUUCUUGCG